rnacentral:rRNA from 1 species
UGGGGAAUAUUGGACAAUGGGCGCAAGCCUGAUCCAGCCAUGCCGCGUGAGUGAUGAAGGCCCUAGGGUUGUAAAGCUCUUUCACCGGUGAAGAUAAUGAUGGUAACCGGAGAAGAAGCCCCGGCUAACUUCGUGCCAGCAGCCGCGGUAAUACGAAGGGGGCUAGCGUUGUUCGGAUUUACUGGGCGUAAAGCGCACGUAGGCGGACUUUUAAGUCAGGGGUGAAUCCCGGGGCUCAACCCCGGAACUGCCUUUGAUACUGGAAGUCUUGAGUAUGGUAGAGGUGAGUGGAAUUCCGAGUGUAGAGGUGAAAUUCGUAGAUAUUCGGAGGAACACCAGUGGCGAAGGCGGCUCACUGGACCAUUACUGACGCUGAGGUGCGAAAGCGUGGGGAGCAAACAGG